rnacentral:tRNA from 2 species
UCUUGGUUAGCUGAGUUGGUAGAGCGCUCCACUGGAAAUGGAGAGGUCUCUGGUUCGAUACCAGGACCACGAA